rnacentral:rRNA from 1 species
ACGGGGGGUGCAAGCGUUGUCCGGAAUGAUUGGGCGUAAAGCAUCUGUAGGUGGUUUUUAAAGUCGACUGUUAAAGCCCAGGGCUCAACUUUGGAUAAGCGGUCGAGUACUUAAGGACUUGAGUAUGGUAGGGGUAGAGGGAAUUCCUAGUGGAGCGGUGAAAUGCACAGAGAUUAGGAAGAACACCGAGGGCGAAAGCACUCUACUGGGCCAUGACUGACACUGAGAGAUGAAAGUUGGGGGAGCGAAAAGGA